UACGACUACAUAUCAGGCAUAUCAAUAAGCGGAGGAAAAGAAACUAACAAGGAUUCCCUUAGUAACGGCGAGUGAAGCGGGAAGAGCUCAAAUUUGAAAUCUUCAAGGUUCUACCUUGACGAAUUGUAGUUUAUAGAAGUGUUUUCUGUUAGUGGAGUGGCAAAAGUUCUUUGGGAUAGGACAUCAUAGAGGGUGAGAAUCCCGUAUUUGGUCAUUCCUCCUAGCGUUGUGAUACACUUUCAACGAGUCGGAUUGUUUGGGAAUGCAGUCCAAAAUGGGUGGUAAAUUUCAUCUAAAGCUAAAUAUUGGCGAGAGACCGAUAGCGAACAAGUACCGUGAGGGAAAGAUGAAAAGAACUUUGAAAGGAGAGUUAAACAGUACGUGAAAUUGUCAAAAGGGAAGCGUUUGACACCAGUGUUGUUUUUCCGAAAAUCAAUUACGAAUGUUUUGUUUUUGAGGAGUUAUGACUUCAUCGGCUUGCUCCUUUCUUUACGAAACUUUCUUAAUGCACUUUUCGGUUAACAAGUCAACAUCAAUUUCUUUUGUUGUAAAAGAGUAUGAGGAAGGUGGCUUUCUUUUCGGAGAAAGUGUUUAUAGCCUUGUGCCUCCUGCAAUCGGAGAGAUUGAGGUCUGCAGCGUAGAUCCUUCGGGGUUAGAUACAUUUGUGCUAAGUUAUAGCCUUUCAUAGACAACUUGUUGACUAUGAUCAGUCAUGUAGCUUACUCGCUUAUGCUAUUUUACCUACGCUUAGGAUGUUGACGCGCGUGUGUGCGUG
rnacentral:rRNA from 1 species